GAUAAUAUAGCUCAAUAGGUAGAGCGACUGUAUGUGGGCACAGUAGGUUCUCUGUUCAAAUCAGAGUAUUGUCCCUUUAUUGUUUUUAGUUUAGUGCUCC
rnacentral:tRNA from 1 species